UACGGGGGGGGCAAGCGUUGUUCGGAAUUACGGGGCGUAAAGGGCUCGUAGGCGGCCAACUAAGUCAGACGUGAAAUCCCUCGGCUUAACCGGGGAACUGCAUCUGAUACUGGAUGGCUUGAGAUUGGGAGAGGGAUGCGGAAUUCCAGGUGUAGCGGUGAAAUGCGUAGAUAUCUGGAGGAACACCGGUGGCGAAGGCGGCAUCCUGGACCAACACUGACGCUGAGGAGCGAAAGCCAGGGGAGCAAACGGG
rnacentral:rRNA from 1 species